rnacentral:rRNA from 1 species
GAUGAACGCUGGCGGCGUGCCUAAUACAUGCAAGUCGAGCGAACGGACGAGAAGCUUGCUUCUCUGAUGUUAGCGGCGGACGGGUGAGUAACACGUGGAUAACCCACCUAUAAGACUGGGAUAACUUCGGGAAUCCGUAGCUAAUACCGGAUAAUAUUUUGAACCGCAUGGUUCAAAAGUGAAAGACGGUCUUGCUGUCACUUAUAGAUGGAUCCGCGCUGCAUUAGCUAGUUGGUAAGGUAACGGCUUACCAAGGCAACGAUGCAUAGCCGACCUGAGAGAGUGAUCGGCCACACGGGAACGGAGACACGGUCCAGACUCCUACGGGAGGCAGCAGUAGGGAAUCUUCCGCAAUGGUCGAAAGCCUGACGGAGCAACGCCGCGUGAGUGAUGAAGGUCUUCGGAUCGUAAAACUCUGUUAUUAGGGAAGAACAUAUGUGUAAGUAACUGUGCACAUCUUGACGGUACCUAAUCAGAAAGCCACGGCUAACUACGUG